UACGUAGGGGGCAAGCGUUGUCCGGAAUGAUUGGGCGUAAAGGGCGCGUAGGCGGCUCUGUAAGUCUGGAGUGGAAGUCCUGUUUUCAAGAUGGGAAUUGCUUUGGAAACUGCGGAGCUUGAGUGUGGGAGAGGAAAGCGGAAUUCCCGGUGUAGCGGUGAAAUGCGUAGAGAUCGGGAGGAACACCAGUGGCGAAGGCGGUGCUCUGGGCCGGAACUGACGCUGAGGAGCGAAAGCGUGGGGAGCAAACAGG
rnacentral:rRNA from 1 species